AUUGAACGCUGGCGGCAGGCCUAACACAUGCAAGUCGAGCGAGCGGCGGACGGGUGCGUAAUGUUUGGGGACUGCCCGAUAGAGGGGGAUCACUACGGGCAACGGUAGCUAAUACCGCAUAAUAGCCGCUAACCCAAUUGGGAUUCGCGAGUAGGUGAGGUAAUGGCUAACCUAGGCGACGAUCCCUAGCUGGACUGCGAGGGUGAUCAGCCACACUGGGACUGAGACACGGCCCAGACUCCUACGGAGGCAGCAGUGGGGAAUAUUGCACAAUGGGCGCAAGCCUGAUGCAGCCAGGCCGCGUGUAUGAAGAAGGCCCUAGGGUUGUAAAGUACUUUCAGUCGGGAGGCGUUACCGACAGAAGAAGCACCGGCUAACUCCGUGCCAGCAGCCGCGGUAAUUC
rnacentral:rRNA from 1 species